rnacentral:rRNA from 1 species
GAUGAACGCUAGCUACAGGCUUAGCACAUGCAAGUCGAGGGGAAACGACAUCGAAAGCUUGCUUUUGAUGGGCGUCGACCGGCGCACGGGUGAGUAACGCGUAUCCAACCUGCCCAUCACUUGGGAAUAACCUUGCGAAAGUAAGACUAAUACCCAAUGACAUCCCACGAAGACAUCUGAAUGGGAUUAAAGAUUUAUCGGUGAUGGAUGCGGAUGCGUCUGAUUAGCUUGUUGGCGGGGUAACGGCCCACCAAGGCAACGAUCAGUAGGGGUUCUGAGAGGAAGGUCCCCCACAUUGGAACUGAGACACGGUCCAAACUCCUACGGGAGGCAGCAGUGAGGAAUAUUGGUCAAUGGGCGAGAGCCUGAACCAGCCAAGUAGCGUGCAGGAUGACGGCCCUAUGGGUUGUAAACUGCUUUUAUAAGGGAAUAAAGUGGGUCUCGUGAGACUUUUUGCAUGUACCUUAUGAAUAAGGACCGGCUAAUUCCGUG